rnacentral:lncRNA from 1 species
UGGGUGCAGCACACCAGCAUGGCACAUGUAUACAUAUGUAAAUAACAUGCACAUUGUGCACAUGUACCCUAAAACUUAAAGUAUAAUAAUAAUUUUUAAAAAAAUCUAAAAAAAAGAAUUUUAAAAGAGUAGAAAUCAUAUAAGUAUGUUCAUAUACCACAGUGGAAUUAAACUGGAAAUCAAAAAAAGAAAGCUAGCUACAAAACUGCCAAAUAUUUUUUAGAUUAAACAAUGUACUUAUAAAGAAAGAAAGAAAGAAAGAAAAUCCUUUGCUUGUCUAUGGAAUGCUUUCAAAUAAACCUCUUUCCCCCCUGUCUCCUUCCCACUCCAGUCAUCUGUCUUAGAGCUAUUGGAAUCCUGGAUCAUUGUGGGAAACGAAAGGAACUGGUUUUUAGCAAGGAGACCAAGAAACUCUACUCCCCAGGGGCUAGCAAUGAGAGAAAGGAAGCCUUAAGUCUUUGAGCACAGGGUGACAGUUUGGGUCCUAUGUGAGAUGAUCAAAUCCACAGCAACAGAGGAAAGGACAAAAGGAAAAGGUCUGUAGCAGCACUACAUCAGAAAAAAUGGAUUCAGCAAGGAAGUGGGUGACUCUGAGUAAGCAUCCAUGUCAGGAUGGUUUUGCUACAGCCCCCAACCAAACAUUAAUUAGUUUAAGAAACUCAACUUAGGUUUACAAGUGUUUUGGAAAAGUAACAAAGAACAACAUAAGUAACAAAAUAAUUCCUCAGGUCAUUACAAUGGAUGUUUCCUAUAACUGAAAAAUAUGGUUAAAAAGUACAAACUACAUUUGGUGUGCAAACUGUUUAGUUCUUAAUUCCAAACUAAAUUGUACAUUAUAUAGUAAAAUUUUGACCAGAAAAACUUGGAGAUUUUAGUAAAAAUUUCAUUGACAUAUUUACAGCCCCAAUGUAGUUUGGCCGGUGUGCAAAGCCUGACUAAGGAGGUUAUAGAAAAAAAUAUCAGACUUAAGCCCAUCAAAUCAUUAAAGAUGCUUUGGCAAGACUUCAAG